GAAGUGCACAUGUCAAGGCCGCCAUUAUCACCACAGAAGAAGUUCGCGGGAAAGUAAAUAAGUUAAAUAAAAGACUGGUCAACCAAGGUAUUCCCCCGUUACUUACGGGACGUACAGUGGAAUUAAUCACACACGGUCCCGGGGAGUAUUUACGGAGCGGAGUUAGUCACAGGGAGUAUUUACCAUGUUUAAAGAGCGGAUUUAACCAAGGACUCAGAAGCAGGAAAGUUAUACAUGAUUAGGAGGAAUUUUACUAGGGUACAAAAAGGGUUUUAUGAGGGUGUGGAUUGGGUUUACAGAAUAGAGAAAAAUGGCUAAAAAUAAUAAAGAAUAGAGAAAAAUGGGUAAAAAAAAAGAAGAGAGAGUAAUGAGGUGCCAAAAUAUAAAGAAUAGAGAAAAAUGGCAAAUAAAAUUAAAGAAUACAGAAAUGGAGGACACCCAUCCAGACCCUUGUAUAUAGGAUAAUCUCUGCAUGGAUUAACAGAUUUAUGGAUUAAACUAAUCUGUAUUAAUUAGUUGAUUAUUUAGAUGUGAACUUUGACCCUGUUUUAGACAUAACUAGUGGUCCCACUUUUUUGGUAAGUUGUUAUUUUGUAUUAGUUUUUUUAAGGAAUGGUUAUCAAAUUUAAGAUUUGGAAUAAACAUUUGGUGACAAAUUUCCUGUAAAUUCAGGUGGUUAUGAUGACUAUUUAUUAUAAAGGCAGUUUCAGUAAAAAUGAUCUUUUUCAAAUUCAGUGAAGGUCAUCAUGUAGGUGCCCUAUUAAAUUGUUUUCCUUGCAUAUUCCCUAAACCAAUAGACCACUUUCGAGGAAUGUCCUUCACAGGAAAAAAUUCGUCAGUUUUGUGCGCCUUUGUGACGUCAUUUACCAGAUAGAGGGGAUCGCCUGUAUCCCUGCUCGAUUAAAGUUCAUUAAGCGUCUUUGUGAUUGUCAUUAUGCUGGAUAAAAUAGAAAUUAUAUUUGUUCCGUAAGUACUUAAUCACAAUUCCCUAAUGACAGCAGUGCCGAAUAAUUCGUUCAAUAUAGCAUUAUCAUUUUUUCAACCAAUCGCUCAACAUAGGAACGGAAGAGAUGACGCCCCUAAACGCACAAAUGAUGUUCUCUAAAACCAAAGUUUUUGGCUGAAAUGCAACGAACUCGAAAGUUGUCUAUUAGAUUUAUUUUAAAAUCUUGGAAGAAUUAUGAAUAACCUUCUACAGUAGUAUCAAUCCCCAAAAAUUGAAUUUCAGAUUGCAUUCAAUUACUCAUCUAACAGAAAUGCAAAAAUGCAAAAUUCAAAUCUAUUUUAUACCAUGAAUUUGUUGCUAAUUAUUGUAUAUUUAUUAAGGUAGAUCAGGUGUCUUCUCAUUUCUUAGAUUGUAAAUUCUAAUGCAAUAUCGUUUGUAACGUUCAUUUUGAUUGGAUAAUGUCACCAAUUUUCAUGGCAUCAAUUCACAAUUGAUGCUAUGAAAACGUACGCGCAAGCACAGACGACGUUUGAAAGAUUUUAGAUGUAUGAUUUGAUUUGUUUUCUGUCAGUUUCAUUAGAAUGGAGAUAUCAAUAAAUGUAUUUGAAGCUCCGACGGCAUCAAUUGGUGAUUUGAUGCCGUUGGAGCUUAAAAUACAAAACAGUUAUCUCCUAAAUAGCAUGAAGCAAUUGGUCUAAUUCUUUAAUGAAAUAUGCAAUUCGUUUGUUACGUUAGACCUUACUUUUAGAUGAAGAAAAAUGUGUGUAUUUUAUUUUCACUGUUUUUACAAAUACAGAAUGUUUUCAUCAACUUGGAUACAGAAGGGGAGAUAACUCAGAUAAUUAACUUAUAUAAAGGAAUUUACCUCAUGUGUUAUGUAGCUAGAUAAGAAGAGAACAUAUAUAUAUAUAUAUAAAGUGCCUAGAAAAUCAACCUAACGAUGUUAGAGUAGAUCCUUUUCUUUACUUCCUCCCGGAUAGGGGCUGGAACCUGUACUUUUUAUUUCUAACUUCUACGACAACACCGCCUAGCAUUGCGCAGACACCUUAUCCCCUCCUCUAACUAUAGCUGAUAAAAAUAUAUAUAUAUAUUUAUGGCUUUUA